GGAUGUGAGGGCGAUCUGGCUGCGGCAUCUGUCACCCCACUGAUGGUCAGGGUUGAUUCGGCAGAUCUGGCGGGCUAGGCGGGUGUCCCCUUCAUCCCUCAAUGCUUCAUGUGCGUCCCUCCUGAAGGUGCAUGCUCAGUCAAAGAGGAUGACCACACCCGCAUAGACAGCCCUUCCUUGGUCAAGGGUAUGGGAGUAGCUGUGCUCCCCUGCUAGAAAAUCCAAACAAGCUCUCAAGAAAGGGGUUAUCAGAUGCAGCAAUGGAAAAGAAAGUGCUAAUGAGGAGAGUGAUUUUCUCAGAACACUGA
rnacentral:snRNA from 1 species